GGCCAUAGGCCAACUCAAGUAGGAAGGGGCGUGGCUAGCGGAGGCGCGGCCAGCCGAGGCGGGUCCACGCCCUAGCCGCGCGCGCAGGGUCGGGGCCGGCGCCCGGGGCGGGCGCAGGGAGCGCGCUCGCGGCCCCGCCCAGCCCGCUUCCGCUGGCUCUUCCCUCCCUCGGAGCAGCGCGCUCGCAGCGGCCGGCGUUAGGGGCGGCGCUCGCGUGCCCCGAGGAAUGCACGCGCAGCCCGGCGCCCGCGGCCUCCGGGACCCCGCCUCGCUGCCGCCGCCGCCGCCGCCGCCGCCGCCGCGCGCCCGGGCCGCGCCCCCGCCGCCCCUGAAGGUCGGGGGCUGCUCCCUCCAGCCGCCCCUGCACUGAGCGCCGCGCCGCGCCGCGCUUUGUCCCCGGCGUGCUCGGCCACCUCCCGGGACGCUCAUGGCGGGGCCCGGCUGAUGCCGCCGCCUCCGCGCCGCCCUCCGAGGCUGCGUCCGCAGGAGCCCGGCCCCGCGCGGACCCCUCCCCGCGCCCCGCGCUCCCCGGGACCUCUGCGCGCUCCACAUGGAGGCGCGCGCCCUGGCCGAGGCGGACGCCGCCGGCCCCCAAGAAGGACCCGCGGAGCCCACCGCGGGCGCGCCCGAGCCUGAGCCUCUCGCCUACCGGCCGGACGACUUCCACAUGCGGGCCACCGUGGGUACAGGGACGUUCGGCCGCGUGCAGCUCGUGCAGGAGAAGACAAGCAAGCAUUUCUUCGCCCUGAAGAUGAUGACCAUCCCCGACAUCAUCCGCCUGAAGCAGGAGCAGCACGUUCACAACGAGAAGUCGGUGCUGAAGGAAGUCGACCACCCUUUCCUGGUCAAACUGUUCUGGACGGGCCAUGACGACCGAUUCCUGUACAUGCUCAUGGAGUUCGUGCCGGGCGGCGAGCUCUUCAGCUACCUGCGGAACCGCGGCCGCUUCUCCAGCAACACCGGGCUGUUCUACGCGGCCGAGAUCGUCUGUGCCAUCGAGUACCUACACUCCCGGGACAUCGUCUAUAGGGACCUGAAGCCGGAGAACAUCCUGCUGGACAGAGACGGCCACGUCAAGCUCACCGACUUCGGGUUCGCCAAGAAGCUGGUGGACAAGACGUGGACCCUCUGCGGGACCCCCGAGUACCUGGCCCCUGAGGUCAUUCAGAGCAAGGGCCACGGCCGAGCGGUGGACUGGUGGGCACUUGGUAUCCUGAUAUUUGAGAUGCUGUCAGGGUUUCCUCCGUUUUUCGAUGACAACGCCUUUGGCAUCUAUCAGAAGAUUCUUGCUGGCAAGAUAGACUUCCCCAGACAUUUGGAGUUCAGCGUCAACCCCCGAUUGUCCCCAAGCUGUGCAGUGCGGACGAUACCUCCAACUUCGAAACGUAUCCUGAGAAUGACUGGACUUCUGCCCCGCCGGUGUCACAGAAAGAGCUGGAUGUCUUCAAGAAUUUCUGAGCUCGGGACUCCCCGCCUGGAAGGCAAAAGAACCUUCCUGACCACAGUUCUCUUCUGCCCCAUUCACUGGAAAACACUGGAUCCAAAAGAACAAAGACCGGACUUCUCUGCUAGUCCAGCGGGUAAGAUUUCUCCUGCCAGUGGAAGGAACAUGGGUUCGAUCCCUCGUCCAGGAAGAUUCCGCACGCUGUGGAGCAACUAAGUCUGCGCGCGACUUCUGUGCCCGUGUCCUGCAGCUGUGGAAGUCCGCACACCUAGAGAGUAGCUCCUGAAACUUGAGGGUGGCCUCCGCUCUCUACAACUGGAGCAAGUCAUGCACAACAUCAAAAACCCCAGCACAAGCUAAAAACAAAAAAAAAGAAUAAAGACCAAACAUCAGUCA
rnacentral:lncRNA from 1 species